AAGCGGCAAAAGCUCAAAUUUGAAAUCUGGCACUUUCAGUGUCCGAGUUGUAAUUUGAAGAAGGUAUCUUUGGGUCUGGCUCUUGUCUAUGUUUCUUGGAACAGAACGUCACAGAGGGUGAGAAUCCCGUGCGAUGAGAUGUCCCAGACCUAUGUAAAGUUCCUUCGAAGAGUCGAGUUGUUUGGGAAUGCAGCUCUAAGUGGGUGGUAAAUUCCAUCUAAAGCUAAAUAUUGGCGAGAGACCGAUAGCGAACAAGUACAGUGAUGGAAAGAUGAAAAGAACUUUGAAAAGAGAGUGAAAAAGUACGUGAAAUUGUUGAAAGGGAAGGGCUUGAGAUCAGACUUGGUAUUUUGUAUGUUACUCUCUCGGGGGUGGCCUCUACAGUUUACCGGGCCAGCAUCAGUUUGAGCGGUAGGAUAAGUGCAAAGAAAUGUGGCACUGCUUCGGUAGUGUGUUAUAGUCUUUGUCGAUACUGCCAGCUUAGACUGAGGACUGCGGCUUCGGCCUAGGAUGUUGGCAUAAUGAUCUUAAGUCGCCCGUC
rnacentral:rRNA from 1 species